UUCAGCUGAAUAGACGAUGUAAGCUGUCCCUUUGAAGGUUUACAGAAAAAUGGACAUCAAAAUUAGCCAGAAAAUUAAAAAAGACAAAGGCUGACGUAGGCUUAGAGGAGUGUUAAACGACGCUGCCUGCAGUUGAAAAAUGAAAGAACAUCAAAAGAUGCCACCCAGUCUGUACUCGAAGGUGCAACAUAUAGUUCAAAGAUCGGGCUGGAGGAAUCGGUUGACUUAGAGACAUCAGCAUGGAGCCGAAGUCAGUGUGCCUAAAAAGCAGUUCAUUUAUAGUUUUUGAUCUUGAAACAACUGUACUAGGCAGGUCCUCAGAAAUCCCUCAGAGAGCAUGCGUUUGUGGUACAGAAAAAAAUUGAUGUCUACAAGAAACCAACAUGCUGCAGCAUCAGUAUUUCUGCAUCUGAUGCAACAAUUCUUACAUAUGUUGGAGGUGUUUUGAAACACAAUGGAAAAAAUGUAGAGUCAACAUCAGCAUCUGAAGGACUCCAAAAUUUUCUCAAGUUCCUGUCAUGGUUUCCUGAUUCCAUUUUGAUAGGACAUAAUAUCCAAAAUUUUGAUUUACCUGUUCUCCUACACCAGCUGACCAAAUGUAACCUUUUGAAGGGCUUUGAGGGGACAGUAUCAGGAUACAUCGACACGUUGAAGCUUUCAAGAAAAGCCAUCGAUCUCUAAAGCUGAUGUCGGAAACUAUAAACAGCGAUCUUGUUCAGAAAUUGUUGGGAGAAACCUAUGAAGCCCACAAUGCCAUCGCAGAUGUUUCUUCUCUACAGAACUAUUUGAUCUGAAGCUAAAGUCGCACUGUGAUAGUGAUGACAUAUUUCAUUUGUCCUACUACAGUUGUAAGGUAUCUUUGGAUCCACUUGUGAAAGCAAAAGUAGUUUUUUCUGUAACAUGUAACAUUGAAGAAACUUAUUAGCCUCUCUUUAACUAUAACUAUAACUGCAGGUUAUCCACAAGCGAGAUCCCCAGAACGGAAUUCACAAUGUGUUUAGUGAGAACCUACCAAACUCUAAAAAACAACGAGUUUCAAAAUCAAAACCUGUAAUUGUCAAAGUGGUACAUUACCUUUCUAAUGUGUGAGAUA